UACGUAGGGGGCAUGCGUUGUCCGGAUUUAUUGGGCGUAAAGAGCGUGUAGGCGGCUUGGUAGGUCUGCUGUGAAAACUCGAGGCUCAACCUCGAGCUGUCGGCGGAAACCACUUGGCUAGAGUCCGGAAGAGGAGAGUGGAAUUCCUGGUGUAGCGGUGAAAUGCGCAGAUAUCAGGAAGAACACCUAUGGCGAAGGCAGCUCUCUGGGACGGUACUGACGCUGAGACGCGAAAGCGUGGGGAGCGAACAGG
rnacentral:rRNA from 1 species